rnacentral:rRNA from 1 species
AAUCUGCCUGGUAGUGGGGGACAACGUUUCGAAAGGAACGCUAAUACCGCAUACGUCCUACGGGAGAAAGCAGGGGACCUUCGGGCCUUGCGCUAUCAGAUGAGCCUAGGUCGGAUUAGCUAGUUGGUGAGGUAAUGGCUCACCAAGGCGACGAUCCGUAACUGGUCUGAGAGGAUGAUCAGUCACACUGGAACUGAGACACGGUCCAGACUCCUACGGGAGGCAGCAGUGGGGAAUAUUGGACAAUGGGCGAAAGCCUGAUCCAGCCAUGCCGCGUGUGUGAAGAAGGUCUUCGGAUUGUAAAGCACUUUAAGUUGGGAGGAAGGGCAGUAAGUUAAUACCUUGCUGUUUUGACGUUACCGACAGAAUAAGCACCGGCUAACUUCGUGCCAGCAGCCGCGGUAAUACGAAGGGUGCAAGCGUUAAUCGGAAUUACUGGGCGUAAAGCGCGCGUAGGUGGUUUGUUAAGUUGGAUGUGAAAGCCCCGGGCUCAACCUGGGAACUGCAUCCAAAACUGGCAAGCUAGAGUAUGGCAGAGGGUGGUGGAAUUUCCUGUGUAGCGGUGAAAUGCGUAGAUAUAGGAAGGAACACCAGUGGCGAACGCGACCACCUGGGCUAAUACUGACACUGAGGUGCGAAAGCGUGGGGAGCAAA